rnacentral:tRNA from 1 species
GCCCCCUUAGCUCAGUGGCUAGAGCACCCGCCUUGUAAGCGGGAUGGCAUCGGUUCAAUCCCGAUAGGGGGCU